UGCCGGGAACCGCGCGGCGGGCGGGCGGUGAACUCCGUCAGGGGGGGAACUCAGCAGCGGUAAGCCGUUCCGACGUGCGACGCGAUCUUCCCGGCAUUU
rnacentral:SRP_RNA from 1 species